rnacentral:rRNA from 1 species
AAUCAACGCUGGCGGCGUGCCUCAGACAUGCAAGUCGAACGAUUAAAGCUCUCUUCGGAGAGUGUAUAGAGUGGCGCACGGGUGAGUAACACGUAAGUAAUCUACCUUUGAGUGGGGAAUAACAGUCGGAAACGACUGCUAAUACCGCAUAAUGCAGCGGCACCGCGAGGUGACAGUUGUUAAAGGAGCAAUUCGCUUAAAGAGGAGCUUGCGGCAGAUUAGCUUGUUGGUAAGGUAACGGCUUACCAAGGCUACGAUCUGUAUCCGGUCUUAGGGGACGGUCGGACACACUGACACUGAAUAACGGGUCAGACUCCUACGGGAGGCAGCAGUCGGGAAUUUUGGGCAAUGGGCGAAAGCCUGACCCAGCAACGCCGCGUGAAGGAUGAAGUAUUUCGGUAUGUAAACUUCGAAAGAAUAGGAAGAAUAAAUGACGGUACUAUUUAUAAGGUCC